CGCUGUAAUGGCGUAAUCUAUGGUGGUGUAUUGCAGGGAGAAUUCCUCAGAGGGUAUGAGGGAAUUAAGACUGGGGUUGGCCGGUGAGUGUGGUGCAGACAAGUCAAUGAUGAGUCUCUGUUUAAGGGAAUAUUUUCCUGUGACAAUACCAAUGUGGUUAGUGCGCCAUUCUUUGAAUGGAGUAGCUUUGAAAGGCCCCAAUACGAAACCCUCAGCAACUUCUUGGGCUAUGACAGUGUCAACAGCUGUGGGAUUGUGUUGUGCGGAUUGUAGAUUAGGGCAUUCCAGAGUCCCGAAUGGUAUGUGUAGAAUACCCGUGUGGAAGCCUUCUGUUAAACCAGAGAUAAGAAAGUCCACCAAGUGUUUAGACGGUUGAUGUGACAUAAAUGCAGUAAAUACCUGCAUUUUAAUGGACGUUAGGUAAGGCUUAAAGUACAUUUUAUUUGGACACAUGGUUUUUGCAUGUGCCCUAAAACAUUU